AAAGAGCCGAUAAAAUUCAAGGUACCGACCCUUCAAAAUUUUUUUUUCAACAUAAGAAAAAUAGUUUGAAAAGAAGACUUUUGGAGUUAGGAUUGAGUAAUAAAUUAACCAAAGUAUGAUGGUGGAGGAUCAGCCUUCCCAGAUGACCUCAUCAGAUGGUGCAACAUGAGAGAAACUUUCAGCAGAUUUUGGUAUGGCAACAAUUUUAGUGCUAUGUUCCACGGUGUCUCUGUAGUGUUUUAUUUCCCAGCUAUCAAUGUUGUCUCCUUUCCCCAGCUGCUGCUGUUUUCAAUGUCUCUCUCCAAAGUUGCCGUGUAAUUUCUAUACAUGAAUAUAUAUAUAAUAACAGCCGGCCUACUCCUUUUCUUUGUGUAUAUAAUUGUUGCAGAAAAACGGUAGAUUGAGGAACGUAAUUCAAGGGUUGAUUUCUUUAGGACCGAACUUGCUUUGAUACCAUGUUAAGAAAAAUAUUGCUCUGAUA
rnacentral:lncRNA from 1 species